UACAGAGGGGGCAAGCGUUGUUCGGAAUUACUGGGCGUAAAGGGCGCGUAGGCGGCCUGUUAAGUCGAACGUGAAAUCCCCGGGCUCAACCCGGGAACUGCGUCUGAUACUGGAUGGCUUGAGUUCGGGAGAGGGAUGCGGAAUUCCAGGUGUAGCGGUGAAAUGCGUAGAUAUCUGGAGGAACACCGGUGGCGAAGGCGGCAUCCUGGACCGACACUGACGCUGAGGAGCGAAAGCCAGGGGAGCAAACGGG
rnacentral:rRNA from 1 species